ACAAAACUGACGUGUCCGCAUUCAGGGCCCCACGGCCAAGCCGGACUCGGUGCAGACAGGUUCAAGACCCCUGCGCUGCCCACCCCGCAGGCCCGGCUGCGCUCGGAGGCCGGGCCUGGCCUGCCUGGCCCGUGAGGAUCUGCACCAGCAGGUCGGUGGCCAGCGUGGGCGUGGGCUCCUCGAAGCCGAUGGUCAGCAGCUGCUGGUAGUCCCCAAGCGGCUGCGGGCACAAAAUCCUGGGGUGGGGGGGCCAGGGAUAGACAGGCCUGGACUUGAGUGCCCCCUGCCCCUCGGGAGUCCCUCCCUUUGAGUGAGAGGCUCAGGUGAAAGAGGCUUUGUUUCAGCUGCGGGUGGGAAAAACCCCCGGGGGAAACUUGUUUCCUUGUUGAUCAGAGACUUAGUAAUGGCUCCUAGAGGCUGAAUAACUGGUCCUGACCUGUCCAUUCGCUCUGCUAGCUGUGUGUCCUUGGGCAGGUAACAACUUCUCUGAGCACCCUGUUUUCUUUGUUAAAUGGGGCCAAUAGCAUAGAUCUCCAUGGGUUGUUACUGGGGUCUGCAUGAAGUGCUUUUCAGGGCACAAUAAAAUGCUAUCACUACUAAGGGAAGCAAAGUGUUUGGGAAGGUGGAUUGUCUUUGGUGGGGUUCUGCCUCCCCCUCCAGCUCCCAGGCCCACGUUGCUAUUGCCCUAGCUCCUACCAUGAAUAAAGGUCAUCCUCGGCUGGUCCUAGGGGCACCCAUCGGCCGAUGGACCACAGCUUCUGGAUCUGUGGGCACGAAUUGGCUGGACUCUGGCCUGUGUCUUCCCAAGUAUCUCGAUAGCACAGAAAGUAGCUAGGAGGGGAGGGAGCUGUAAUUAGAAGUGAUCAGCUUCCUAGCUACUUCUGUUGAGGGCUUUAAUUUUGGAGUUGAGGUGGGAACUCAUCAGAAGUUGCCCUGAAGUUCUCAGGUAGGAAUGUGACUCCAAGGCCUUUUCUCCCUGCCAGCCUACUUUUAAGAUGAGAACUUUUAUUUUGGUGGGAGGGUGGGUUUUAAGAAAAUAGAGGUAGCCUUUCAAAAGCCUUUAGUUUCCUGGUUCACUUUUUUUUUUUUUUAAGAGACAGAUUAUUGCUUCCACUCAGGGUGGAGUGCAGUGGCACAAUCACAGCUCACCGUAGCCUUGAUUCCUGGGCUCAAGUGCUCCUCCUGCCUAAGCCUCCCAAGUAGCUGGGACUACAGGUGCCAGCCAUCACGCCUGGCGAAUUUCUUUGUUGUUGAGACAGGGUCUUGCCAUCUUGCCCAGGCUGAUCUCAAACUCUUGAGCUCAAGUGAUCCUCCUGCCUCGGCCUCCCAAAGUGUUGGGAUUACAGGCGUGAGCCACUGCCUCGGGCCCUGGCUCACUUUUCACUUUGCUGGUGACGGUUUGGAGGGUCAUAUUGGCAUUCAUCAUAGAAAGGGGAGGACUUUGAUUUGGGUAAGAGGACUUACUAAUCCACAAGGGAAUCUUGUCCCCGACCAGGGGCCUCUGGGGUGGCUUCCAGGUGCCAGCGCAUCUUCUUAUAGAGGUAGCGGGGGAAGCGGCUGGCAGUGUAGGCGGUUGGGGCACAGUAUCUGAAGAUGGAGACCUCAUGGGACAGGCUGAUGGAGAACCUCCCGCAAAAGAAACAGGAGAUGCUGGCGAGACAUGAGAGAAUGGAGGGGUGAGGCUGGGCCUUGGACUCCUUCAUCCCCCCAUCUGAGUCUCCUACCAUUUUACCUAAGGGGGUUCAUCUCCUCCAGGUCCACGAACCCAAAGGAAGCGUACAUGAGGACCAGCUGUUCCAGGCGCAGGGUCAGCUGUUGGGAGAUCUCUAACAGCUGCAUACAAGAGGGGGGUACAGUGAGAUCAGCUGGCCUGCGAGGAGUGGGCCUCCCCCUCCACCAUCCCCACAGGCUCAGAGCUGCGAGAAGAAAGGGGCGUGGGGUCUAAGAAACCUCCACACACCCCCUUUCGGACCAGCUCCUGCAGGGGUCCAUAGAUGGGGGGUAUGCUUCUCGCGGCUGCCUCCAGGUACAGGAAGUAGGGCUCACACAUCUGUAAGAAGGUGGGCAUGGCCUUGGCCAGCUGCUCCUUCUGUACUUGGUCUCUGCUGAAGGAAGAAGGGGGCCUUUGCCUGGAAUCCCUCACAACCCCUCCCCACCCCGCAGUUUUCCCCAUUCUACUCAAUCCCAACCUGUAUCCCUGGCUUUGACCCAUUAGAAAAGCCCCCAGUUUCAGGUCUUUUCUGAACAUCUUUCUGGUUUACCUGCAUCAAACCCAUUUGGAACACUUGUUAAAGUGCUGACACCUGAGUCUCACAACACUUAGGACCCAGAGCUUCCUGCAGGGUCUGGGCGCAGUGGCUCACGCCUGCAAUCCUAGAGUUUUGGGAGGCUGAGGCUGGAGGAUUGCUUGAGGCCAGGAGUUCCAGACAAGCCUAGGCAACAUAGCAAGAACCCAUCUCUACACAAAAAUAAUUAGCUGGGCAUGGUGGCACCUGUAGUCCCAGUUACCCAGGAGGUGGAGGUGGGAAGAUUGCUUGAGACCAGGAGUUCGAGGGUGCAGUGAGCUAUGACUGCCCCACUGCACUCCAGCUUGGGUGACAGAGCGAGACCCUGUCUCAUUAAAAAAAAAAAAACAGCCUCAUGAGAAUCCCUCGAACCUGGGAGGCGGAGGUUGCAGUGAGCUGAGUUCGCCCCACUGCACUCCAGCCUAGGUGACAGAGCAAGACUCCAUUUCAAAAAAACACAUAACAACAAAACAAAACAAAAAAACCCAGCCUCGGGUAGGCGCGGUGGCUCACGUCUGUAAUUCCAGCACUUUGGGAGGCCAAGGCGGGUGGAUCAUGAGGUCAGGAGCUCAAGACCAGUCUGGCCAAGAUGGUGAAACUCUGUCUCUACUAAGAAAAGAAAAAAAUUAGCCGGGCAACACAUGUUGGUGGGCGCCUGUAAUCCCAGCUACUCGGGAGGCUGAGGCAGAGAAUUGCUUCAAUCCGGGAGGCGGAGGUUGCAGUGAGCUGAGAUUGCACCACUGCACUCCAGCCUGGGCGACAGAGUGAGACUCCAUCUCAAAAACAAACACGCAAACAAAACCCAACCCAGCCUCCUAGGAAAUUCCAAUGGACACUGAAAUUGAGAGUCACAGGGAAACCUGGUCUGGGAAUCACAUUAUCCUUUGGAGUCUCAAACUGAUGUCCUGCAGGCCAAGUUUGGCUCAGGUGGGUCUUGUUUAGCCAGCACAGGGCUCAAAAUGUAAGACAGCACUUAAAAACUGGGAGAAAAAGUCCUAGAGACUUGACAACCCCAGGCCCACACUGCCACGACAGUAAUAGCAGCCAUCCCCUACCCGCAAUUCUACAGUCUUCCUCAUUCUCUUAAACUGGAUUCUAAUAUGCUAGCUUCUUCCACUGUCUCCCUCUGGCUCCUAGCGCUUGUAAUUUUGCGACCCUGGUGUGUGUCACCCAUCCUGUCGCCUCCCCUCCAAGUCUCCUUACCCAUGGGGACCUGGGACCCUGUCCAGCAUCACCUGUAGAGCAAGUAGCUCUGGAAAUCAUCUGCCUUCUUCAGUAGGUA
rnacentral:lncRNA from 1 species